UGUUAAGGCGCCUAAAAAACGCUCAUGGGACACCAUGAAAGGCGUUGGUCGCUCAUGACAGCAGGACGGUGGCCAUGGAAGUCGGAAUCCGCUAAGGAGUGUGCAACGACUCACCUGCCGAAGCAACCAGCCCUGAAAAUGGAUGGCGCUGAAGCGUUUUGCCUAUGCACUACCGUUACCGGCACGUGUGAUGCUAAAUUUUUAAUUUGGUAUCAUUAAGCCGUAACGAGUAGGACGUGCGCGAUGGAGAGCGCAGAAGGGUCUGGGCGUGAGCCCGCUUGGAGCCUCCGUCGGUGCAGAUCUUGGUGGUAGUAGCAAAUACUCCAGCGAGGCCCUGGAGGACUGACGUGGAGAAGGGUUUCGCGUGAACAGUAGUUGCUCGCGAGUCAGUCGAUCCUAAGCUCAAGGAGAGAUCUUAUGUCGAUGUGGCGUGUUUUUUUAUAAUUUUUAAAAAUAAUGAAAAAUAACGCCCUUUGAGCGAAAGGGAAUCCGGUUCCUAUUCCGGAACCCGGCAGCGGAACCGUUUCAAUAAUCGUUCCCUCGUCUUUAAAAACGAGUGUUCGACGGGGUAACCCAAAGUGGCCUGAAGACGCCGCCGAGAGGUCCGGGAAGAGUUUUCUUUUCUGCCUGAGCGUUCGAGUUCCAUGGAAUCCUAUAGAAGGGAGAUAUGGUUCGGAACGCGAAGAGCACCGCAUUUGCGGCGGUGUCCGGAUACUCUCUGCGGACCUUGAAAAUUCAGGUGAGGGAUGUACGUGGAGAUGUCGCGCCGGUUCGUACCCAUAUCCGCAGCAGGUCUCCAAGGUGAAGAGCCUCUAGUCGAUAGAAUAAUGUAGGUAAGGGAAGUCGGCAAAUUGGAUCCGUAACUUCGGAAUAAGGAUUGGCUCUGAGGACCGGGGCGUGUCGGGUUUGGACGGGAAGCGGAUGCGGCCGGUGCCGGGUCUGGUCGAUGUUCGUGCGUUAUGUUCGUUUUAGCGAGUUAGUAUUUUAAUAUAAUGCGGCCUCAAAAACUGUAUAUAUUUAAUAUGACACUCGCGAAAAUCGUCUUACGUUUCGGACUGGAUCCGGACCCGCGUUCUCCGGCCUUCCGCGGAUCUUCCUAGCCGUAAGGUCGUGUCGGUUUCGUUUCGUGCGCGAUCGGCACGAUUCUGUACGACCGCCGUUCAACGGUCAGCUCAGAACUGGCACGGACAAGGGGAAUCCGACUGUCUAAUUAAAACAAAGCAUUGCGAUGGCCCUCGCGGGUGUUGACGCAAUGUGAUUUCUGCCCAGUGCUCUGAAUGUCAACGUGAAGAAAUUCAAGCAAGCGCGGGUAAACGGCGGGAGUAACUAUGACUCUCUUAAGGUAGCCAAAUCCCUCGUCAUCUAAUUAGUGACGCGCAUGAAUGGAUUAACGAGAUUCCCACUGUCCCUAUCUACUAUCUAGCGAAACCACAGCCAAGGGAACGGGCUUGGGAGAAUCAGCGGGGAAAGAAGACCCUGUUGAGCUUGACUCUAGUCUGGCAUUGUAAGGAGACAUGAGAGGUGUAGCAUAAGUGGGAGAUCGUUUCGCGCGAUCGUCGCUGAAAAACCACUACUUUCAUUGUUUCAUUACUUACUCGGUUGGGCGGAAGCGGUGCGCGGUCGAUAAUAUCGGCGGGCGCACGGUGUUUCGUUCCAAGCGUGCAGAGUGGUGACGUGGCGGAAACGCUCGUCGCCGUUUAAAACUCCCGCGUGAUCCGGUUCGAGGACACUGCCAGGCGGGGAGUUUGACUGGGGCGGUACAUCUGUCAAAGAAUAACGCAGGUGUCCUAAGGCCAGCUCAGCGAGGACAGAAACCUCGCGUGGAGCAAAAGGGCAAAAGCUGGCUUGAUCCAGAUGUUCAGUACGCAUAGGGACUGCGAAAGCACGGCCUAUCGAUCCUUUAGUAUAAAGAGUUUUUAGCAAGAGGUGCCAGAAAAGUUACCACAGGGAUAACUGGCUUGUGGCAGCCAAGCGUUCAUAGCGACGUUGCUUUUUGAUCCUUCGAUGUCGGCUCUUCCUAUCAUUGCGAAGCAA
rnacentral:rRNA from 1 species